rnacentral:misc_RNA from 1 species
GAUGAAGAACGUAGCGAAAUGCGAUAAGUAAUGUGAAUUGCAGAAUUCAGUGAAUCAUCGAAUCUUUGAACGCACAUUGCGCCCGCCAGUAUUCUGGCGGGCAUGCCUUUUCGAGCGUCAUUUCAACCAUCAAGCCCCAGGCUUGUGUUGGGGACCUGCGGCUGCCGCAGGCCCUGAAAACCAGUGGCGGGCUCGCUGUCACACCGGGCGUAGUAGAUUUUAUCUCGCUCAGGGCGUGCUGCGGGUCCCGGCCGUUAAAAGCCUUUUUUUACCCAAGGUUGACCUCGGAUCAGGUAGGAAGACCCGCUGAACUUAAGCAUAUCAAUAAGCGGAGGA